GGGGGUAUAGCUUACUGGUAGAGUGUAUGCUUAGCAUGCAUGAGGUCAUGGGUUCAUUCCUCAGUACCUCCA
rfam:Camelus ferus unplaced genomic scaffold scaffold370, whole genome shotgun sequence.